UAUUUCCGAGUUACUUUGCGAGUAAGGAGGGGAGGGGGAGUUCUGAUUGAUGCUGGCCUUUCGGGGCAUGUGCUCGUCGGAUUUUCUUUCUUUUUCUUUGCUCCAAAAUCCACUCAACCACUGUGCACUAAUUCGAAGCCUUUUCCAUUCGUUCGGUCCUCCCCGUCAAAAGGGAGCAGCUCCUCUUUCUCUUUCGGGGGGAAGGGUUGAGUCGGGGCUUAGCGGAAGGGAAAGGUUUUCGAGCCUUUUUCAUACAAAAACUAUUAUAUUGUCUUGUAGAAUGUUUAUUACUAUWGAAAAUACAACUUUCAACAACGGAUCUCUUGGCUCUCGCAUCGAUGAAGAACGCAGCGAAAUGCGAUAAGUAAUGUGAAUYGCAGAAUUCAGUGAAUCAUCGAAUCUUUGAACGCACCUUGCGCUCCUUGGUAUUCCGAGGAGCAUGCCUGUUUGAGUGUCAUGUAAUCAUCAAACCCCCCUUCCGUUUUGUAAUAAAAGCGGGUCGGACGGUUUGGACUUGGAGGUUAUUAAAUGUUGGCUUUCACGAGUCGACUCCUCUUGAAAACAUUAGUCGGGACUUCGGUCGCUCCGUCGCGGUACGCGGUGUGAUAAUUUAUUCACCCAUCGGUAAACCCGCUUCUUGCGUCCGGCUGGCUUCUAACUCCUGUUUUAUUUUGCGACUCUUUACUGAGUUUUGUAAAAGAAACCAUUUGACAAUCUGGCCUCANANUCUGGUAG
rnacentral:rRNA from 1 species